AAGUCGUAACAAGGUUUCCGUAGGUGAACCUGCGGAAGGAUCAUUAACACUUUUCUUUAUACUAUUAUCAAUACCAAUGAGCACCCGACAGAGCCUUCUUUUGCGGGGGUCGACUAGGAAAUGGUUGGAAUGCGUCCUAGCCUGCUGUAGAAGUUAGCCCACCCAACUACUCGAUGGAACGGUGAUCGGUCUAACGCCCCGACUUUGGAAGGUAUACAGUCUCGACCAUGACUGGCCCCUUAUUUAACCUUUGAUAUUUGUACUGAUUUGGGCUAUGGAUUUGAGAGGAGUAACGUCCUUUCUCUAUGGCUGUUGAUAGACCGUUACUGGUCUCUUCAAUAACAACCAAAACACAACUCUUAACAGCGGAUAUCUCGGUUCUC
rnacentral:misc_RNA from 1 species